rnacentral:rRNA from 1 species
UCCACGCCGUAAACGAUGUUCACUCGCUGUUUGCGAUACACAGCAAGCGGCCAAGCGAAAGCAUUAAGUGAACCACCUGGGGAGUACGCCGGCAACGGUGAAACUCAAAGGAAUUGACGGGGGCCCGCACAAGCGGAGGAACAUGUGGUUUAAUUCGAUGAUACGCGAGGAACCUUACCUGGGCUUAAAUGUAGAGUGCAUGUUGUGGAAACACACUUCCCUUCGGGGCUCUUUACAAGGUGCUGCAUGGUUGUCGUCAGCUCGUGCCGUGAGGUGUCGGGUUAAGUCCCAUAACGAGCGCAACCCCUACUGUUAGUUGCCAUCAGGUCAAGCUGGGCACUCUAGCGGGACUGCCACCGUAAGGUGAGAGGAAGGUGGGGAUGACGUCAAAUCAGCACGGCCCUUAUGUC